GGAAAAUUCUUUAUGUUGAAUCGCCAUUUGUUUCUGUGCAGUUUGCACUGGUUGGAGACACACAGAAUAAAAUGUCUAACACGCUUCCACAAAUAUUUGAGGACUGCUAACAAGUUUCUUCCACUACUCCACAAGGCUCCUUUUCUUUUGACUAAACAUGCCCAGUUAUUUCAAACAGGGAGGCAGUGUGGGGCAGUGGAAAGAACGACAGCUCUGGAGCCAGACAUCC
rnacentral:lncRNA from 1 species